UCCAGUUCUGCCCACUCCUCUGCCAGGCUGAGCCACGGACUGGUCGGUUUUCUCGUGGGCCAGGUGCUGCAUCCCAGGACAGGCAGGAGGGCUGGGCCACCUGCCCAGACCAAGCAGGGACAGGAAGCUGCGGGUGGCUGGGGUGGCUUCCUGCCCCUGCUGCAGAAUCGCGCCCCUCAGGACCGUGCAGGGCUGCAGCUGCCCUACUGUUCCUGCGUUCCCAGGCUGAGGCCCAGCUUCUACCUGGAAACCCCGGCCGGGCCCACGUGGGCACGGGGCAGAGGGCCUUGUGAGGAGGCUGCGUGCAAAGGGGCCGUGAGGACAGGGCCUUAGCUGUUCUGAUCACUGUAACAAGGCUCCACAGGCAGAGGCUCGAAGAUCUGAAACCACGGUCCCCGUCCUAGAGGCCAGAGGCUGAAGAUGGAGGCAUCUGGUGAGGUGGCUGCGUCCCUGCCGCGUCCUCACUGUUGGAGAAAUCCCUCAUCAGCACCUGCAACUUUCAGAAGGGCCCCGAGUCCCCAGAGCCCCUCCCUUGAGACCUCCUCCCCUGCUGAGUUCUAACACAUCACCUCAAGUUUGAGUGCUGGUCGAAGGACUCCACAUGUUGUGUUUACAAGUCAACAGCGUCCGUCUGCCUGGCACCACCAUAACACACAAGCUGGAUUGGGUUCCCUGGUGUGCCUGCUCCCCUCUUCCAGGGUCAUUGAGCAUCCCCAGGCCCCGAUGAGGAUUCCAUCGUGAGACCAGGCCUUCCAUUUUGCUGAACACCCUCUCUGCACCCACCACCAGACAUUCCAGAAAAGCAGCUUGGGCCCUGUACUUCAAGUCCCACCACAGACAUCAGAGUUUCAAUAUCUGACUCAAUCAUAUGACUUGACCUUCCACAAUGUCCAUAUGACCUUGUCUAACAGUCUCCUGCCCGAGGAGCACAGGUUUCCCUGGUGGAAGAUCCAGUCUCCUCUCCACACCUGCUCACCUUUAAACCCUGCCUCUCUCCUCUCGUGGCUCAGGAUGCUCCCCCUCUCCUCCUGUCACCAUUCAUGCACUGAGACUCUGAGGAGCUCCCUCUGCACCCGUCCCACACACAGGAGGGCCCUGCUCCAGGCCACAUGCACAGGGUCCACAGAUGGCCUCUCCUUCCUUCAGGGGGAGUCGUCAGGCAGCGUGUGCCACAGUCUCUCUCACCUCCACUGUGGAAGCUGCUCCCCUCCCCAGUAACUCAUCCAACCAGCAGGCUGAACUGGUGCCCUCGAAAGAGCCUUCACUGUGGCAACGGGGGCCUCCUCUAUGUCUACGCUGGCUCCAAACACGCCUUCCACACAUUCCUCUCCCUCUCUGCUAUUUGGACAGAGCGUGGAUUCCCUACCACCAAGGGGUCUUCAGUUAUAAUGCCCCUCUACCUCCCACCUCCUUCAGGGCUCAAAGUUUCCCUCUGCCACUGGAAUCAUGGGUGUGCCCAUGUCCCUGUGUGUGUGUCUGGGUGUGCCCAUGUCCCUGUGUGUGUGUCUGGGUGUGCCCAUGUCCCUGUGUGUGUGUCUGGGUGUGCCCAUGUCCCUGUGUGUGUGUCUAGGUGUGCCCAUGUCCCUGUGUGUAUCUGUAUGUGCCCAUGUCCUGUGUGUGUGUGCCCAUGUCCCUGUGUGUGUGUCUGGUUGUGCCCAUGUCCCUGUGUGUGUGUCUAGGUGUGCCCAUGUCCCUGUGUGUGUGCCCAUGUCCCUGUGUGUGUGUGCCCAUGUCCCUGUGUGUGUGUGUGGGUAUGCCCAUGUCCCUGUCUGGGUGUGCCCAUGUCCCUGUGUGUGUGUGUGUGGGGGUAUGCCCAUGUCCCUGUGUGUGUCUGGGUGUGCCCAUGUCCCUGUGUGCAUGUCUGGGUGUGCCCAUGUCCACAUACACAGGACGCUGACCCCUGGGUGGGCCUCACUGUCCCCCUUUGUGGGUGCAGUGCCUGGACCCUGUGAGGGGCAGAGCCAGCCCAGUCAUCCAUAGCCCCUUGAAACCUGAGGGCCACAGGCUUGAUACAUCAUGUGCUCCCAGCCACAAGGGGCCUAGGGGGCUCUGGGGGCUGGGGUCACCCCACCCCAGUGCAGCAGGCUGAGGCGGCCAAGGAACCUGACUUGGCAGAGGCGCGAGGGGCAGAGAGGCACAGGAUCUGGUUGCUGCACACAGCAGAUGGCUGACUGGUACCGCAAUCUGGCUGGGCACAAAUAAUUGGGAGGUCACGAGCCACUUGUAGGUUCAAACAGGAACUACUUUAUUGCCCGACCUCCACGGGAACUCAACGGGAACUCCGCUGGAACUCAACGGGAACUCCGCGAGAACUUAAAAGUGGCGGGCACCCAAGGUAGCAGGAGCCACCUUAUUGCCGGACAGCAGAGGUUUAUAUACACAACUGAAUACACAGCUUGUUUCAAUUUAGCAUCAUCCAGUUACAGCAAUCAGUCAUUAUCUUAAUAAUUAUACACAGCUUAACUGAAUUAUCAUCAUCUUAAUGGCUCACUGGCGUUACUUCUCCACCACUCCUUCUGGCAAAAUGCCAGGUGCCAUCUUGACUUGGCUGUGGCUCUCAACAUCUCCCCCUUCUGUUUAAUUAAACAACAAGUAUGUGGCUUAGGGACCGUGCCUGUUUUAGGUUGUCCAAUACUACAUAUGGUCCUUACCCGUCAUCGGAUGAGCUGACCUCAAGGCGUUAGCCUCCUGUCUUAGGUUGGUACCAUUGCAAUUAGAUCUUACCCGUCUUUAACUACCGGCCCAACACACUCAGCCAUACUUGUGGAUAAUGACCAUCACAAGCCGAAGGGAGGAGGAUACAAAAUGCCAUGAUACCAAGCCAAAUGACGGCUCCUUUUGGAAAAAUUGUACCACCGAUGACACCAUCAGCAAAGAUACCCCGGCACUACCACAAGUCGCUGCACCAACAGAUAGUUCACAAUGCAUACAAGUGAUACAUAGUCUAGGCAAGUUCUGCAAGCAGUUCAAAGCAGAGGAAUCUAUCAAUAUGUCCAUUUCCUCCCAAAGUAAAUCGACUCCUUGAUUGAGCACUA